UCAGACAUGGUGUAGUUGGAACGCAGCCUAUUAUUGUUGGAGAUCAGUCAAAGAUUCAGAGGCAAUCCGGGGUUCAAAUCCCUGUGUCUGAA